AGAGUUUGAUCCUGGCUCAGGACGAACGCUGGCGGCGCGCCUAACACAUGCAAGUCGAACGAGCGAGAGAGAGCUUGCUUUCUCGAGCGAGUGGCGAACGGGUGAGUAACGCGUGAGGAACCUGCCUCAAAGAGGGGGAUAACAGUUGGAAACGACUGCUAAUACCGCAUAAGCCCACGGUGCCGCAUGGCACAGGGGGAAAAGGAGCAAUCCGCUUUGAGAUGGCCUCGCGUCCGAUUAGCUAGUUGGUGAGGUAACGGCCCACCAAGGCGACGAUCGGUAGCCGGACUGAGAGGUUGAACGGCCACAUUGGGACUGAGACACGGCCCAGACUCCUACGGGAGGCAGCAGUGGGGAAUAUUGCACAAUGGGGGAAACCCUGAUGCAGCGACGCCGCGUGGAGGAAGAAGGUCUUCGGAUUGUAAACUCCUGUUGUUGAGGAAGAUAAUGACGGUACUCAACAAGGAAGUGACGGCUAACUACGUGCCAGCAGCCGCGGUAAAACGUAGGUCACAAGCGUUGUCCGGAAUUACUGGGUGUAAAGGGAGCGCAGGCGGGAAGACAAGUUGGAAGUGAAAUCUAUGGGCUCAACCCAUAAACUGCUUUCAAAACUGUUUUUCUUGAGUAGUGCAGAGGUAGGCGGAAUUCCCGGUGUAGCGGUGGAAUGCGUAGAUAUCGGGAGGAACACCAGUGGCGAAGGCGGCCUACUGGGCACCAACUGACGUUGAGGCUCGAAAGUGUGGGUAGCAAACAGGAUUAGAUACNCUGGUAGUCCACACCGUAAACGAUGAUUACUAGGUGUUGGAGGAUUGACCCCUUCAGUGCCGCAGUUAACACAAUAAGUAAUCCACCUGGGGAGUACGACCGCAAGGUUGAAACUCAAAGGAAUUGACGGGGGCCCGCACAAGCAGUGGAGUAUGUGGUUUAAUUCGACGCAACGCGAAGAACCUUACCAAGUCUUGACAUCCUCUGACGAACGUAGAAAUACGUUUUCUCUUCGGAGCAGAGAGACAGGUGGUGCAUGGUUGUCGUCAGCUCGUGUCGUGAGAUGUUGGGUUAAGUCCCGCAACAAGCGCAACCCUUAUGGUCAGUUACUACGCAAGAGGACUCUGGCCAGACUGCCGUUGACAAAACGGAGGAAGGUGGGGAUGACGUCAAAUCAUCAUGCCCUUUAUGACUUGGGCUACACACGUACUACAAUGGCGUUAAACAAAGAGAAGCAAGACCGCGAGGUGGAGCAAAACUCAGAAACAACGUCCCAGUUCGGACUGCAGGCUGCAACUCGCCUGCACGAAGUCGGAAUUGCUAGUAAUCGCAGAUCAGCAUGCUGCGGUGAAUACGUUC
rnacentral:rRNA from 1 species